AGUUGUAUAAAAAUGACAGAUCAUUUCUUUCAGCGAUUUAUAUAAAAGUACAUAUUAUAGAAAAAAAAGUAUUAUACUAGAAUUUAAUUCGGAAAAUGGUUUACCUGAUUCAUUAUUCAUUAUCAUUGAUUAAACAAAUAUUAAUCUUUAUGAAUCAUACGAACAUACAGGGACUCGAUUAAGUUCAAGGUCAGUAAUUUUACAGUAGACAUUUUUCAGAUGGUACAAAUAUGAAGAAGAAAAAAAAAAACUAAAGAAAAAGAAGUAUAUAUGCAGUUAAGAGGCGCAUAUGUUGCUUCCAAGUUUGGUCAUAUAAUACAAAUUCUACAAAAGGCAGAAAACACGUGCGGAUGCCAUCAUUCUGGCAACCAUAUGGCUGCCAGAACACUACUGUUAAUACAUCGACACACUGUACGCACGUACAGAAGAGGAAGGAAGUGUUUUUCUGCUAACUAAAGUCACUUAUAGGCCAUCCAUGUCACAUCAAAAAUAUUCUCUUCAAACUUACAAUUUGCAUAAGCAUUAAAAAUCAUGAAAAAAAAAUUCCAACUAUUAAUAAUUCUAAGAAUAGUAAAUUAUUCCAUAUUUACGAUGAGGAUCACUUUUAGUAGAUAUUACAUUGAUCUUAAUAUUCUCGUAUAUACGUAUAUUAAUUACGUCAUGUACUGUAUAUGGAUAAUCCAAUUAUGGUUGUACAAUAAAAUUUUUCAUAUAUGGAGCGCCACUCAUUGUAUUUCCACAUUAUUAUCAUUUUCGGAAAAGGAAAAAAAAAAAAUUAAUAAUGUCGAGUAAUUUAAAAUAUUUUCUCCUCAUAUAUAGACGUAGGAUGAAAAUUCAUUCAUGGAUUAUUCAUUCAUCAACGCUGCAAGGGCGUAUAGAUUCUUUGAGAUUAUUAAAGAUUAUAAAAAUUUAAGUCCUCGCACUGUUUUCGAUAUUUCUAUAAUUAAUAUAUAUAUAUAUAUAAUAACGAGAAUAAACGAGAUGAAAAAUAAAAACGAAAGGAAUAUUAUAAUCAAAACCGCCUACAUGAAGAAAAAAAAAACCAUAAGUAAUAUUGCAGCAAUGACCUUAUGCAAGUUAAAUGAAAAAUAAAACCUCGUACACUUUGAAAUGGAUAUUAUAUAAAUGGUCAUUGCAAAUAAUCAGGAUGACAAUUCUACGAAACUUGAUCAUCAAUUAUAAAUAUCCCUUAGUUGAGUAUCUAUUUUGGGAAUUAAUGCUAAGCGCAGACAAGACCGGUAGUGGUACAUAUGUAUAUAUAUAUAUAUACUAGUGCAGAGUUGGUCGAGACGCACACGUGAAAUUAAUGGAAGCGUUGCUCGUAAAGCUCCUACAAGGUGGCCUAAAUAUACGCCUAGAAUGAUAUUUCUAAUACAAGCAAUCGUAUACAACUUCCGGUAUAAUCCUAUAAUUUCAUCAAAAAUUCAAAUUUGAUUUUUUAAUCCUUAAACCACAGUGUUUACAUUAUAACAAUUGAUACUUUUUAUAAAAUUUGAAA